UUAAGUCCCGCAACGAGCGCAACCCUCGACCUUAGUUGCCAGCAUUCAGUUGGCACUCUAAGGUGACUGCCGGCUAAAAGUCGGAGGAAGGUAGGGAUGACGUCAAAUCAUCAUGCCCCUUAUGACCUGGGCUACACACGUGCUACAAUGGGCGGUACAAAGGGUCGCGAACCCGCGAGGGGGAGCCAAUCCCAAAAAGCCGCUCUCAGUUCGGAUUGCAGGCUGCAACUCGCCUGCAUGAAGCCGGAAUCGCUAGUAAUCGCGAAUCAGCAUGUCGCGGUGAAUACGUUCCCGGGCCUU
rnacentral:rRNA from 1 species